ACUUAAUAGCUCUUACUAUGCACUAGGCACAGCGCUUAACACUUUCCCACAUCCUUCUUUUAAUCCUGGCUACAAUGUAUCACUCUAAUUUUACAGCCAAGGGAACAGCCCUGCAGAGAACAAGUGACUUGGCCAAGGUGAAGCUGGCCGACCUGGAGGAGGGGGCUGUGAACACAUCUCUGUCUUAUCUUUCCUGGGGCUGCUUUAUGUGGCAAGACGGUGAAAUGCACCAGAGAGCUGGUGGGCAGGUGGAGCCUGAGUGGCCCUUCAGCCUGACCCAUGCAGAACUGGGAACUUACUUGAGAAAUCUACCAAAGGAAGAUAGUGAAAGGGCAAGGAAGCAAGUUUGUCUCACACUACAGUGGCAUAACUAGCAGUUGACACACAAGCUGGCAGAUUUGCAAUCCUCCUGCCUGUCUCCAGACUGGGAUUACAGGUAGAAACCAUCAGACUCCUGCCAAACCUCAUCCCUCUUGAGGCUUACCUUACACCCUUAUUCCUGAUGGUUUUCUGUGAUUCUGACCAUAGGGUUUUUUCCUCCCUCUUACAGUUGGGAGCACUUUAAAUAUAUCUAUGAUCUAUAGAAUUUCUAUGUAUCUAUAUAUCUCCAGUGGUCUGGACUGCUGGAAACGCCUCCAUGAUGUUUAAGUUCUACUUAGAAUCAGGGGCACGGAAUCUACAGGUGUAGUUUACCAAGCACCAA